UAAUAGAUACCCCGAGGUACGUCCACGCCCUAAACGAUGCGAACUGGAUGGUUGGGUACAUUACGGUACUCAGUGUCGAAGCUAACGCGUUAAGUUCGCCGCCUGGGGAGUACGGUCGCAAGACUGAAACUCAAAGGAAUUGACGGGGGCCCGCACAAGCGGUGGAGUAUGUGGUUUAAUUCGAUGCAACGCGAAGAACCUUACCUGGCCUUGACAUCUGUCGAAUCCUGCAGAGAUGCGGGAGUGCCGCAAGGAACGACAAGACAGGUGCUGCAUGGCUGUCGUCAGCUCGUGUCGUGAGAUGUUGGGUUAAGUCCCGCAACGAGCGCAACCCUUGUCCUUAGUUGCCAGCACGUAAUGGUGGGAACUCUAAGGAGACUGCCGGUGACAAACCGGGAGGAAGGUGGGGAUGACGUCAAGUCCUCAUGGCCCUUACGGCCAGGGCUACACACGUACUACAAUGGUCGGUACAGAGGGUUGCGAAGCCGCGAGGUGGAGCCAAUCCCGAGAAAGCCGAUCCCAGUCCGGA
rnacentral:rRNA from 1 species